rnacentral:lncRNA from 1 species
CAAAAGCCCAAGAAAAAAAUCUGAGUUCUCACGACAAAGUCACUUCCUGCUACAACACCUGGAAAAUGUCAUGACCCGAGCUAGUCUCACUUCAGGUAACCUCACCUCUAUGGACCUGUCAAUUCAUCCAUAAACUUGAUUUUCCAACUCUUGCUGAACUUCAAAAACACUUCCAAUUCUAAAAUAUCUAUGUUACUAAGUGUCACUGUUCAGACUUUAUGAGCUUCUAAACCCUUUAUGUGUUUUCAUUUUUUAUUCUAUGAAGAUCUAUAAGGUCUCACAGAGUUAGUCCUUCCUUCUCUAUUUCUAUCACAUUGUGUAUACAUCUUUUACAGUACUUAUUAGGUUGGGUUGGUUUGGUUUGUUAUUUUUUUCUCAACUUUUUAUUUUUAAACAAUUGUAGAUACAUUAGAAGUUUUAUUUAAAAAUGUGCAGGGAGGUCCCAUGCGUGUCUCAGACUUCCGCAAUGGUAGCAUCUUACAUCACUACAGUACAUGAUCAAAACCAGGAAACUGAAAUGAAUGCAACCCACAGAGUUUGUUCAGACUUCACCAGCUUUACAUGCACUUGUUUGUGUGUGUGCAGAUCGUUUUCAUGUCUCUGUCAUUCUAGAGUCCCUGGUUUCUAGUACGGUGCCUGACAGAUAGAUGACUUUCUUUAUAUGUUGCUGAAGACAGGCAGAGAGGAAGAAAGGAAGAGAGGAUAAAGGGAGGAAUAAACUUGAUAUAAGCAUCUUUGCAUAAUUAACAACUGGGUCAAAUUUUCUUCAUUUCAUUGAGAUUCUUGAUACAAGCCUCUGCUGAUGAAUUGGAUUCCAAAAAGAUAUUGUUGUCCAGGCCACACCAUACGGGACUUACCACUCCCAGUUGCUAACAUCUGCACGUAUUUGCCUGGAGGUCUCCUCUGGUCACCAGAUCCUACUCUGCCUGGGCCACAUGACAAGGUGAUGUGCUGAGGAACAAAAGCCCCCAGGAGUAUCCCUCAAGCAGUGUUGGACUGGAGUUGAGGUAUAUAUGCCCUAGCCUCCCAACCCUGGGCUGAGAUUCCCAAACAACUGGGUUCCCUGGCAGGACCCAGCCCCACAUACCCAAAACACUAAACUGCUUAAUGAUGGACACUUCCCAUCCUGUCUCCCCUUCCCCAUUUCCCUACCCGUGUUUCCUGGGACCACCUCCAAAACUAAGAAUUUCCCCAAGCUGUUCCUUGAAGAACCCAAACUAAGAUUGCUAAAGCACUAAGCUGGAAGUGACUCAAAACCAAAAAGCCUAACAUAAGCUUUUGUCUUCUUUAAGAAUUCAUUCUGAACUGUCUGCCAAUUUCAUUUUAACAUUAGAAAAUGAUUGAAAAUGUUAAAUUGGCCUUGCUUGACUUCAACAUUUGACACAGUUACUCCAAGGAUACAUACAUUGCGCUAUAGAAUUCCUCUAUUUUUUUGCUAUCCCUCCAUCAAGUGGUGAGUUCUGACUCCAAAAUAUGUUUUAGAUCAGUCCUCUACUCUCCAUUUCCACUGCCAGCCCCCUAGUCCAUCCCAUGCCAUCUCUUGCUAGACUGGUCAUCACUUGCUAGACUGUCACCAAAUCCUCCUGACUGGCCCAUCCCCGAUUCCACUCUUGACCCUUCCAAUCUAUUAUUUCAUAGCAACUAAGAAAAAUGUUUAAAAAUAUAAAUCAAUUGAUAUCACUUCCUUCAUUAAAACCUAGCUUCCCAUUGCACAUAGAAUGAAAUCCCAAGUCCUUCUUGUGGACUAAAAGACUUCUCCCACUUCUGUUUUAACUCACUGUACCCUUCACUCACGGUACUCCAGGAACCUUAAUGUCCUCUCUGUUCCCAGAAUGGAUCCAGCCUGUCCAGGCCUUUGUGCUUGCUCUUCCCUCUUCCUGAAUAUUCUGACCUGGCUCUGUGUGUGUCUACUUCCUCCUCAUCUCUCAGAUCUCCUUUGCAAAAGGGCUUCCCCAAUGAUUUAAUUUAAUAUCAUCUUUUCAUGUACCCCAAAUGUCAUUCUCUAGCACUGUAUUCUGUUUAUUUCCUUCAUAGAAUCUACAGUAAAUUCUAAUCGUUUCAGGUUUUUGUUUAUUUACUCAUUCAAAAACACAUAGACUCAGUCCCUAUUAUCCCUACGGUGGGCCAGGCCUAGACCCUUGACAGGUGCGGGAGGUACACAGUGAUCAAAAACAGACCCUACCUACAUUAGGGAGAGAAUUUAGUGAGAGAGACUGAUGUUAAACAAAUAAUAACAUAUGCAGUUUUAAAGCUGACACUGUAAGAAGUGUUAUAUACAGAGCCCUAUGAGAAGUCAAAUUAGAAAAUUUUGGCCUACUUAGGGAUGGCAUCCCCAAGGAAGUAAACAAUGAGCUGGGGCCUGUGUAGGCAAAGGUUAACUCAGCAAACCUGGGUUGUUCAAACCCUGCACAUUUUCAGGAAAAGCCUGUCUUCAGGAAUGACCCUGGGAAAAGAGCUCUGAGGCUUUGGAAUGCCCUGCCUGAUAAGAGUGUGUCUUUAUGCCCAAAGCCUUGGGCAACACGGUACCAGUUUGAUCACAUAGUUUAUGUUAACAGUGAGAUUUAUGGUGAAUGCCUGCUCUUGCUCUAGGAGGUUGAAGUCUGAGUAGCCAACAUCAAUCCUGCAGGUACUACAUGCCAAUGCAACUGGCCCCCAAUUAAAAAUUCUGGACACUCACUCAGGGGAGAUUCCUAGUUGGUAGCACUUUACUCAGGCAGUCACACACUAUUGCUGGAAGAAUGAAGUGUGCCCAUGUGACGCCACUGGAGGAGGACACCUGGAAACUUGGGCCUGUUUUUUCCUGGACUUUGCCCCAAGUGCUUUUUCCCCUUUCUGGUUUGAAUCUGUAUCCUUUCACUGUAAGAAAUUUCCACCUUGAGCAUGACAGCUUUUCUGAGUCCUGUGAGUUCUAGCAAAUCAUUAAGCCUAAGGAUGGUCUCAGGGACCCUGACACAGCACCAAAGAGAGUGUUUAAGGCAGAGAAAACAGCAGACUCAAAAACCCCGUGACAUCCCUGAGCAUCUCGACAUGAGAAGUGUAACAAAAGCUGGUUAGGUGGGAAUGGAAGAGAAAGCAGGUGUGUGACACUAGGUGUCCACAUUCUCUCUUCACUGGUGAAUGGACACCUGUGAUUGUUGUUCACUGUUGGCAUCACCACCACAUACCAUUAUGCUUGGCAUGUCAUUGAUGCCCAAGAGUAUCCAUUAAAUAAAUGAAUUAUAAAUAAGCAAAUGAGUGAAUGGAAUGAAUGAUCCUCAGCUUUAUGUUACAUCUUACAGCAAGUGUAAUUGUUAUUGAUUAUUAUUCCCAUGAUCAUCUCUCUGAAUGCUUCAAAGUUGUUUAAUUACUUGUAUGACACCACUGCCUCAAGACAGUUAAAGCACUAGGGGGAAAAAUGCCUCAAAACAUUUCAAAUCAAUUGAAGUUUUUAGAUAAUUUCCUGAAUAUAUUGCAGUAAUUUAUAGAAAAUGUAGACUUUAUCUGCAGGCUAGACUGUAAAUUUAUGUAAAUAAUAAAAGCCCU